rnacentral:rRNA from 1 species
GACGAACGCUGGCGGCGUGCCUAAUACAUGCAAGUAGAACGCUGAAGGAGUAGCUUGCUUCUCUGGAUGAGUUGCGAACGGGUGAGUAACGCGUAGGUAACCUGCCUUGUAGCUUGGGAUAACUUUUGGAAACGAUAGCUAAUACCGCAUAAUAGUAGAUGUUGCAUGACAUUUGCGUAAAAGUUGCAAUUUCAUCACUACCAGAUGGACCUGCGUUGUUUUAUCUAGUUGGGGGGGUAACGGCUCAACAAGGCGACUAUGCAUAUCCGACCUGAGAGGGUGAUCGGCCAAACUGGGACGGGGACAAGGCCCAGACUUCCGAGGGAAGGAGCCGGAGGGAAUCUUCGGCCAUGGGCGGCAGUCUGACCGAGCACCGCCGCGGGAGUGAAGAAGGUCUUCGGGUCGUAAAGCUCUGUUGUAAGGGAAGAAAGAGCGUGAGAGUGGAAAGUUGACACUGUGACGGUAUCUUACGAAAAAGCACCGGCUAACUACGUG